CUGGGGUAGGCUCUGGGGAUAAGACCAGGCUAAGAAGAGAUUUUUGCUUUUUGCCAUGAUAAAAGGAGCUUGUGUCAAGCCAACUUCCCCUUGGAGACCAACUACAGAGGCAGAUAAAAUACAGGAAGAAGUUAAUUGGAUGCAUUGGUGAAAAAUCAAGUUAGUCAGUAAAACUCGGAUGCUGAAUGAGGAGCUACAGGACCAAGAGGCUGCAUCCAGGGUUUAUGUGCCCCCUGUUCUGCCCGGCACAGGGCACAGGAUAAACCCUGGUUGGGAACUAGACAGACAGGCAAGAGGCCCACGGUACAGGGAGCAGCACCACAGCCCUGCCCUGGGACGUGGCUCAGAGCUGGCUGCUUCCAGAACAGUGAUGACAAGCAGAAGGUCUGCGGUCCGGACAACCCAGCCACAAGGCACUUGAAGCAAGCCCUGGGACUAAGAAGUCUGAUUCUCUACAUGGGGAAUGUGAGCCCCAUGCGAGGAUGAAGCCCAGGAAGGGAGCAGAUGCCACAAGGGGAGGAAGGGGUGGAGGGAGGAAAGAGACAAUAAUGAGAACCCAUGGAUCGCUUGACUUACACACAAGCUGCCAAGGGAAAAAUUGAAAAAAGGCACAAGAAGAAAAUGAAAACCUUUUUUUUGGUGCUGGAGAUUUCAUCCCUUCUAUUUCAUGUGUGGAUUCUAUUUUCUUCAACUCUACAAUACAAACUUUU